rnacentral:rRNA from 1 species
UACAGAGACUGCAAGCGUUACUCGGAUUCACUGGGCGUAAAGGGAGCGCAGGCGGAAUGGUGUGUCGAUUGUGAAACCUUGGGGCUCAACUCCAAGACUGCGGUCGAAACUGCCAUUCUAGGGACUCGGAGGGGCCGGUGGAAUUCCUGGUGGAGCAGUGAAAUGCGUAGAUAUCAGGAGGAACACCAACGGCGAAGGCAGCCGGCUGGACGAGAUCCGACGCUCAGGCUCGAAAGUAUGGGGAGCAAAAAGG